UUGCGGCUAAAUCACGCUGAAACACCGGUUUCAGUACAAUCACAGAAGUUAAGCAAUAUCGAGCCUGGUCAGUAUCUAUAUGGGUGACCGCAUGGGAAUACCAGAUGCUGUAAG